UGGGUUUAAGGGUGCGUAGGCGGCCUGUUAAGUCAGGGGUGAAAGACGGUAGCUCAACUAUCGCAGUGCCCUUGAUACUGAUGGGCUUGAAUGGACUAGAGGUAGGCGGAAUGAGACAAGUAGCGGUGAAAUGCAUAGAUAUGUCUCAGAACACCGAUUGCGAAGGCAGCUUACUAUGGUCUUAUUGACGCUGAGGCACGAAAGCGUGGGGAUCAAACAGGAUUAGAUACCCUGGUAGUCCACGCCCUAAACGAUGAACACUCGCUGUUGGCGAUACACAGUCAGCGGCUAAGCGAAAGCGUUAAGUGUUCCACCUGGGGAGUACGCCCGCAAGGGUGAAACUCAAAGGAAUUGACGGGGGCCCGCACAAGCGGAGGAGCAUGUGGUUUAAUUCGAUGAUACGCGAGGAACCUUACCCGGGCUUGAAAGUUAGUGAAUGAUCCAGAGAUGGAUCAGUGAGCAAUCACACGAAACUAGGUGCUGCAUGGCUGUCGUCAGCUCGUGCCGUGAGGUGUUGGGUUAAGUCCCGCAACGAGCGCAACCCCUAUGUUUAGUUGCCAGCACGUCAUGGUGGGGACUCUAAACAGACUGCCUGUGCAAACAGAGAGGAAGGAGGGGACGACGUCAAGUCAUCAUGGCCCUUACGUCCGGGGCUACACACGUGCUACAAUGGAUGGUACAGAGGGCAGCUACAUAGCAAUAUGAUGCGAAUCUCACAAAGCCGUUCACAGUUCGGAUUGGGGUCUGCAACUCGACCCCAUGAAGUUGGAUUCGCUAGUAAUCGCGUAUCAGCAAUGACGCGGUGAAUACGUUCCCGGGCCUUGUACACACCGCCCGUC
rnacentral:rRNA from 1 species